GACGAACGCUGGCGGCGUGCUUAACACAUGCAAGUCGAACGGAAAGGCCCUGCUUUUGUGGGGUGCUCGAGUGGCGAACGGGUGAGUAACACGUGAGUAACCUGCCCUUGACUUUGGGAUAACUUCAGGAAACUGGGGCUAAUACCGGAUAGGAGCUCCUGCUGCAUGGUGGGGGUUGGAAAGUUUCGGCGGUUGGGGAUGUACUCGCGGCUUAUCAGCUUGUUGGGGGGGUAGUGGCUUACCAAGGCUUUGACGGGUAGCCGGCCUGAGAGGGUGACCGGCCACAUUGGGACUGAGAUACGGCCGAGACUCCUACGGGAGGCAGCAGUGGGGAAUAUUGCACAAUGGGCGGAAGCCUGAUGCAGCAACGCCGCGUGCGGGAUGACGGCCUUCAGGUUGUAAAACGCUUUCGCCUGUGACGAAGCGUGAGUGACGGUAAUGGGUAAAGAAGCACCGGCUAACUACGUG
rnacentral:rRNA from 1 species